rnacentral:lncRNA from 1 species
ACCACAGGCAUCCUUGAGCGAAGCAACGCGACCGUUCCUUCAUGAAUUCUUCGUGAUCGGACUUUCACUCCAAGUCUAUACCUGCACACUCACUAACUAUCCCCAAGGAAUGGGAGGAAUGGGACAGGUCCACAUCACCAUCCGUAUGCAAGCUUUAAGUGUCCUAAUGCUAGUAUUCAAAAGUAGUCAAGGAAUAGGCUCGGGUUUCCUAUGCAGUAGCAAGCAUAAAGAAUAAAACUCC